GAAGCAAGUCUUAAUAUCUUUUGUUUUCCUCUGUAUUUUGUAGUCAGUUAAAUGAAAAGCCCUUACCAGAAGGCUGGGAAAUGAGAUUCACAGUGGAUGGAAUUCCAUAUUUUGUGGACCACAAUAGAAGAGCAACUACUUAUAUAGAUCCACGAACGGGAAAAUCAGCCUUGUAAGUUUUCUAAACAUUAUAAAUCAAAAGCACAGCUAAUUUCUUGGAUUUCCACAGAAGAUUUCAGUUAAUAAAGACAAAGUUGUACUUGAGGUGGGCCCAUAGGCACUGUACACUGAAUCUUGGUGGUUUUUUUUUUUUUUUUUUUUUUUGCUUGGGGAUAGGGAAGAGAUUCUCACCUUGUAACCCUGAUUGACCUAGAACUCACUCUGUAAACUAGAGUAGCCUUGAACUCACAGAGAUCUGCCUACCUUUGCUUCCAAUGCCUCUAAUAUUCUGGGAUUGAAGAAAUGCACCACCACAAUGUAGCAUUUGCUUAUUUUUUAAAUUGAGUUGUUUCUUCUUUUUGAACUAUACAUGCUCUGUAGCCUGGCGGUAUGGCACUCACUCUCUAGGCCAUCCUGGUCCUGAGCUUGCAGAGAUCACCUGGCUCUGCUUCUGCUGUUUUCAAAGCAUUGUCCCAGCAUGAUCAGCCUAGGAGUCCCUUAUACACUGGCAUGGCUCACUCAACAGGUUAGGAGAAAUGCCUCCUUGUGUGAGCACUGCAGAAUAUACUUUCACAAGCUAGACUGUAUUUUAUAUACACUCAGCCCAGAUGUAGCUUAAGAUCAUGAUGAACAAACACAAGAUUAAGUUAAGCAUCAGAAAGAUGAUGAAAUCGAGAUACACGGACAUUUGUAAACCAUCUAACAUAUGUGCCAAGCUCCAAGUUCUGGUUUGCUAGAACAGUAAGUGUUCUUAACCACUGAGCCAUCUCUGCAGCCUUCUUUGCUGUUAUGUUGAUACAUGAUUUCAUAUGUUGACCUAUCUUAUAUUCUAACUGUAAAUCCCACAUGGUAUGGAGGAUUCAGACAUCAAUUCUUUAAUUCUGCUUAAAUACUUUUGCUAAUAUUUUGUUGAGUUUUAUACUUCUGCAAAUUAAAAGCGUAUGUUUACAGCAGAAACUGAGAAAUCAGUCCAAUUAGGCACUAAUAAAGUUAUAGAGAUAACUUAGAUGUAGAAGUUAAUUAUAAGUAGAUAAUGUUAUUAUUUAUUUUAGUUAUUAUGUUUGGGUACAUAUAACAAAAAGCCCUACAACAAUAAUAGCUUAUAUUCAUUAUUAGCAUAUUUCUCUACAUUAUUUUAUAGUAAUCUGGGCCAGAUAAAAAUGCAUGCCUAUAUGACUGUAUAACCUGUAAGUCAAGCUCCAGGAGACCGAGUGCCCUCAUCUGGCCUCCUCUGGCACACACUCCAUCCCCUAGAUAACAUUAAAACUAACAGUGUGGGGCUGGAGAGAUGGCUCAGUAGUUAAAAGCAUUGACUGCUCUUCUGAAGGGCCUGAGUUCAAAUCCCAGCAACAAUAUGAUGGCUCACAACCACCUGUAAUGAGAUGACACCCUCUUCUGGAGUGUCUGAAGACAGCUACAAGUGUACUUAGUUAGAUAUAAUAAUAGCUCUCUUAAAAAAAAAAAAAAAAAAAAAAAAACCCUAACAGUGUAACUCACCAUUGAAACAGACUAGAGGGGAAAAAAAAAUCAUAUAAUCUGGGAUGGGCACCUUAGGAGUUAAAGAGUAUCGCUGCUCUUGGAAAGGAUUCCAAUUCAGUUUCUGGUAUCUCUUUGGCAGCUAACAGCCAUCUAUAAAUUCAGUUCCCGGUGUCCUCUUCCAGCCCUCUUAUGGUGCACAGACAUACAUACAGUCCAGGCCAAGACUCAUGUACAUACAAGUAAAUGAAUCUUUUAAAAUAAGUCAUAUCAUUCAGUAAAAGCUUUUGAUGAAAUGUAAGCAAUUUUAUGAUCCACUUUCACCUGCCUUGGAAAUGUACUUAUCUACAAGAAUACAAACAAAAGCCUCAGCCAACAUCUGCUUAAUGAUGAAAUCUUUAUCCCAGAAGAUCAAAGAUGGUUAUGAUCAUGGCUGCCAUUCAGUAUUAUGUUGGCAACCAAGUGUAAAGAGAAAAGGAAGCAGAAGAGAGGCUGGAGAGAUGGCUCAGCCGUUAAAGCCUAGGCCCACAACCAAAAAUAUAAGAGAGGCUGAAGAGGAGAAAGUAAUGCUGUCUGUCUUUUACUCAGAUGAGAAUCAUGUAUAGUAAAAAUUGUGAAGAAUAUAGAGAAAACUACUAGAACUUGUCAAGUUUCCAGGAUUGCAGGGUUCAAAAUCAGACAGACGUACUUCUGUAUUGAAACAUAGUCAACAUGGAGGCUUCCAUUGACUGAUCUGGGAUUCUUCUGUUUUACAACUGCCUGCAUGGUUUCCAUCCUCAUUGUGCUAGUCAUUUGGAGAAAGGCCACACUGAAAUGGUGAACAGAAAAACUGGUAUCUUUGCUUUUUAAAAAAAUUGACUUCUUGGAAGCCCCUACAGCACUUGUAGUUAGAGCUCAUUAGAUAGACCUAUAGUCACACUAGGAAAUGUCUGUCCUAGGUAACAUUCCAUGGUUGAUCAUGAGCCUGUUUAAGGACAAAGGAUACAGUCGUUGUUGUGAAGGGUGACAUUCCUUUGUAGGAACUCUUUUAUCCAGCUCUGUUAGAUUUACCUGCACAGAAAAAAAAAAAAAAAAAAAAAAGCACCCCCAGCAAUGGCUUCAACAAGAUCUUAAUUGGAAAUAGCCCUUAGGAAACAUUCAAAAAAGAAUAUUACACAUAUGCUCUACUGGGUGCUUUUGUGGUUGUCCAGUGCUGGGUGGUGGAGACGGGGCCUAUUUGCUUUCCUUUAGCAUUUCUUUUACAAGCAGUUGCACAUGUCAUGUCUAUCUUUGUUCUUCAGAGACAAUGGGCCCCAGAUAGCCUAUGUGCGGGACUUCAAGGCAAAAGUUCAGUAUUUCCGGUUCUGGUGCCAGGUUAGUAUUGGCUCUGAGUCUCUGUGUCUCUGUUACAUUGCUGAUGUUACACAGCAGUCUGAAAAUAUGGAUUAACAAGAAAAGUGUGAAGCAUUGGAGUCAUCCUACUCUAGGACAAUGAAAUAUAUUUAUUCAUUAGAUAACGAUGUCUUCGGUUGUCCAGAGAUUAAGCUAGAAAUCAUUUGAAUAAGGAAAUAUUGUCACUUUUUUCUUCAGUACCUAUUAUUUUCAUGUUGUAUAAAUCUUGAAACAAAAUGUUUGUGUGUGUGUGGGGGGUGAUUAUGUUUUGCUUUGUUUUUUGUUUUUCCAACAGGGUUUCUCUGUGUGGCCCUGUCUGUCCUGGAACUCACUAUGUAGUCCAGGCUGGCCUCCAACCCAGAGAUCCACCUGUCUUUAACAAAUGAGUGCUGGGAUUAAAGGAGUGUGCCACCACUGCCUUGCUGUGUUUGUGUGUUUUAUUUUUUGAUUUUUGAGACAGAACAGUCUAAACAGCCCGCACCAGUCUGAACUCAAAAUCCUCCUGCCUUAGCUUCCUGAGUGCUGUGAGUAUAAGUGUGUGCCUCAUGCGUAACUCCACGUCUAGUCUUUGAUGAGUGUG
rnacentral:lncRNA from 1 species